rnacentral:rRNA from 1 species
GGGAAUAUUGCACAAUGGGCGCAAGCCUGAUGCAGCGACGCCGCGUGCGGGAUGGAGGCCUUCGGGUUGUAAACCGCUUUUGUUCAGGGGCAAGGCACGGUCUUCGGCCGUGUUGAGUGGAUUGUUCGAAUAAGCACCGGCUAACUACGUGCCAGCAGCCGCGGUAAUACGUAGGGUGCAAGCGUUAUCCGGAUUUAUUGGGCGUAAAGGGCGCGUAGGCGGUUCGUCGCGUCCGGUGUGAAAGUCCAUCGCUUAACGGUGGAUCCGCGCCGGGUACGGGCGGGCUUGAGUGCGGUAGGGGAGACUGGAAUUCCCGGUGUAACGGUGGAAUGUGUAGAUAUCGGGAAGAACACCAAUGGCGAAGGCAGGUCUCUGGGCCGUUACUGACGCUGAGGAGCGAAAACGUGGGGAGCGAACA